ACUCCUACGGGAGGCAGCAGUGGGGAAUUUUGCGCAAUGGGGGAAACCCUGACGCAGCAACGCCGCGUGAGUGAUGAAGGCCUUCGGGUCGUAAAGCUCUGUCAGAGGGAAAGAAGUGUAUUGUGGCUAAUAUCCAUGAUACUUGACGGUACCCUCAAAGGAAGCACCGGCUAACUCCGUGCCAGCAGCCGCGGUAAUACGGAGGGUGCGAGCGUUGUUCGGAAUUAUUGGGCGUAAAGCGCGUGUAGGCGGUUUUCUAAGUCUGAUGUGAAAGCCCCGGGCUCAACCUGGGAAGUGCAUUGGAAACUGGGGAACUUGAAUACGGGAGAGGGCAGUGGAAUUCCUAGUGUAGGAGUGAAAUCCGUAGAUAUUAGGAGGAACACCGGUGGCGAAGGCGGCUGCCUGGACCGAUAUUGACGCUGAGACGCGAAAGCGUGGGGAGCAAACAGGAUUAGAUACCCUGGUAGUCCACGCCGUAAACGAUGAGAACUAGGUGUUGCGGGUA
rnacentral:rRNA from 1 species